rnacentral:rRNA from 1 species
GACGAACGCUGGCGGCGUGCUUAACACAUGCAAGUCGAACGGAAAGGCCCUGCUUUUGUGGGGUGCUCGAGUGGCGAAGGGGUGAGUAACACGUGAGUAACCUGCCCUUGACGUUGGGACAACUUCAGGAAACCGGGGAUAAUACCGGAUAGGAGCUCCUGAUGCAUGAUGGGGGUUGGAAAGUUUCGGCGGUUGGGGGUGGACUGGCGGGUUACUAGCUGGUUGGUGGGGUAGUGGCUUAGCAAGCGUUUGACGGGUAGCCGGCCUGAGAGGGUGGACGGCCACCUUAGGCCUACGGUACGGCCCAGUCUGCUACGUGAGGCAACGGUGGGGAAUCUUGCACAAUGGGCGGACGCCUGAUGAGACAACGCCGCGUUCGGGAUGACGGCUUUCGUGUUGGAAACCGCAUUCGCCUGUGACGAAGCGUGAGUGACGGUAACGGGUGAAGAAGCACCGGCUAACUACGUG